GUGGGGAAUAUUGGACAAUGGGCGAAAGCCUGAUCCAGCCAUGCCGCGUGUGUGAAGAAGGUCUUCGGAUUGUAAAGCACUUUAAGUUGGGAGGAAGGGUAGUAACCUAAUACGUUGCUACUUUGACGUUACCGACAGAAUAAGCACCGGCUAACUUCGUGCCAGCAGCCGCGGUAAUACGAAGGGUGCAAGCGUUAAUCGGAAUUACUGGGCGUAAAGCGCGCGUAGGUGGUUCAGUAAGUUGGAAGUGAAAUCCCCGGGCCCAACCUGGGAACUGCUUUCAAAACUGCUGAGCUAGAGUACGGUAGAGGGUGGUGGAAUUUCCUGUGUAGCGGUGAAAUGCGUAGAUAUAGGAAGGAACACCAGUGGCGAAGGCGACCACCUGGACUGAUACUGACACUGAGGUGCGAAAGCGUGGGGAGCAAACAGGAUUAGAUACCCGUGUAGUCC
rnacentral:rRNA from 1 species